AUGGUGUCACAGACCCAGGUCCUCAUGUCCCUGUUGCUCUGGGUCUCUGGUGCCUGUGGGGACAUUGUGAUGACCCAGUCUCCAGGCUUCCUGGCUGUGUCAUCAGGAGAAACGGUCACCAUCAACUGCAAGUCCAGUCAGAAUAUUUACAAUGGUAUAGCCUGGUACCAGCAGAAACCAGGUCAGGCUCCUAAACUGCUUAUCUACGCAGCCUCUAGCAGGCCAUCUGAAGUCCCUGACCGCUUCACUGGCAGUGGGUCUGGGAUAGAUUUCAUUCUCACCAUCGGCAACCUCCAGGCUGAAGAUGUGGCAGAUUACUACUGUCAGCAGGGUUAUAACUGUCCUCCCACAGUGCUUCAGCCUGAAUCAAAAACGCCUCCCAAGGUUAUGGGUCAGUGA